rnacentral:rRNA from 1 species
CGCCUCUUGCCAAAAUUAUAAGAGGUCCAGCCUGCCCGGUGACAAAGUUUAACGGCCGCGGUACCCUAACCGUGCAAAGGUAGCAUAAUCACUUGUUCCUUAAAUAGGGACUAGUAUCAACGGCACCACGAGGGCCAUACUGUCUCCUCUCCUCAAUCAGUGAAACUGAUCUCCCCGUGAAGAAGCGGGGAUUAAACUAUAAGACGAGAAGACCCCAUGGAGCUUUAAGCAACAUCUUCAUCUCUUGUUUUUUUUCAUCAACCUAAUAUAAAAUGAAUUGAAUUCUAGCUUUAGAUUGGGGAGAUCGCGGAGUACAAAUCAACCUCCACGACAAACGGACAGUGUCCUUAUCCAUGAACCACAUUUCUAAGAAUUAGCACACUAAUGUUUUUGACCCAUAUAUAUGAUCAACGAACCAAGUUACCCUGGGGAUAACAGCGCAAUCUACUUUAAGAGUCCAUAUCGACAAGUAGGUUUACGACCUCGAUGUUGGAUCAGGGUAUCCUAGUGGUGCAGCCGCUACUAAAGGUUUGUUUGUUCAACAAUUAAAACCC